UACGUAGGGGGCAAGCGUUGUCCGGAAUCAUUGGGCGUAAAGCGCGCGUAGGCGGCCAGAUAAGUCCGGUGUGAAAGUCACAGGCUCAACCUGUGAAUGCCGCUGGAAACUGUCUGGCUUGAGUCCGGAAGGGGCGAGUGGAAUUCCUGGUGUAGCGGUGAAAUGCGCAGAUAUCAGGAGGAACACCAAUGGCGAAGGCAGCUCGCUGGGACGUGACUGACGCUGAGACGCGAAAGCGUGGGGAGCAAACAGG
rnacentral:rRNA from 1 species